rnacentral:misc_RNA from 1 species
UUUCCGUAGGUGAACCUGCGGAAGGAUCAUUACAGCGAGAAAUUCUAUCACGCUCGACCACCAUUCUGUGUUUUUGUGAACUUGUUGCUUUUGCUGGCCCGCCUCGAUGCUGGCUCGCCGGACGUACACCGACUCAGUCGCGUUGCCUCCAGUCGCCAUCUUAUAGUCUUACUACACAUGUCGACAGCGACACUAGACAAAAUCAAAAAAAACUUUCAAAAACAGAUAUCUUGGUUCUCGCAUCGAUGCAAACAGCAGCAGAUCGCAAGAGCACACAUC